UCCAUCUCCUUGGCUCAAAGCAGGACCUAACAUGUGGGUGUCCUCAGGGAGGAUGGCUCUGGCCUGGAGACUCUGGAGCAGAGAUGCACAGAACUAGAGAAUUCAUCUCUCUGCAAGUGUCUGCUGAGAACUUGAGGACAAGCUUAAACAGGACAAAAGGACAGAUUUUUAAUGUGCAGUGGAAUAUUCUGAACUUCCCAGCUGACACAGAUAAGAUAAGAGUGACAAAUCUGUGGGGGAAAAUUGACAAGCUUUAAGGAUGCCAAGAUGCAGUGUGAGAAGCUGCAAAGGAUGUGCUCAAACCAGAGCAUCUUUGCACAGUCCUGGGCCAGGGCUUCCUGUUGGCUCCCCAGAAGGUGACUUGGUAGCAACUACACAGAGUUUAACAACUUGAGAAAGAGGUUUCUGGUGAGCAAAAUGACUUUUCCUCUCAACUCUGAAAAACUUUAUUGCCCAGAUCAUA
rnacentral:lncRNA from 1 species